GUAAUACCGUGAAAGAGUCACCGUGAGGAUCAGAGGCACACAGCAUGGCCCCUUUUAUGAGGCUGAAGGGCUGCACGUGAGCUGACCGUGAGAGCACAGAGGUGAAAACCAUGUGAAACGGUGCAAAGGGUGACACAGCAACCUGACCAUCCUCACCAAAAGGAUGAGCAAGUAGGUUCCACGCAGUGAGAUGGCCUCAUUCACCUGGGAUCUGAACCCAAGAGCCAGGCUCCUAAUCAGUAGGUCAUGCCCAAGUCCCUACAGCCCUAAGAGCAGCCUGAGUUAUUUUGGAGGAGGAGCCCGCCCCGAGGAGCAGCAAAACCCCAGGCCUGUCCCCUGGGGCCUCAGCAUUCCAGAGGCCAGAUGGGCUUGACGCUAUUCACCAGGUCGUAGCCCGCUCCAGGCUGCGCUCGGCUGGCUUGUGACCCACGUUCCUCCAGGCACCCCUCCUCCCUUUCCUCGGCAUGAAGGAGACAGAGCUGCUGGCAGUGUAUCCUCAGCAUCUGGCGGAACAUUCUGGCCCAUUGCUGAGUGCCUCUCACUCCCCAGCCGUCCUCGGGGAUGGCCGGUGACUCAUGUUUCCAUUUUCAACGCCGGGCCAGGGACCAGAUCUUUCCAUGACCACCAGGGCGGGCCAUACGGCGUUGGAAUCAAGGACAGGAGCUGUGACAUCAGACAGGCCUGAGUUCAAAUCCUCCUUCUGGUGCUGCCAACUGACUUACCAACCUUCUGAGCCUGCUUCCCUGU